AUUGAACGCUGGCGGCAGGCCUAACACAUGCAAGUCGAACGAGUGGCGGACGGGUGAGUAAUGUCUGGGAAACUGCCUGAUGGAGGGGGAUAACUACUGGAAACGGUAGCUAAUACCGCAUACCAUCAGAUGUGCCCAGAUGGGAUUAGCUAGUUGGUGGGGUAACGGCUCACCAAGGCGACGAUUCCUAGCUGGUCUGAGGGGAUGACCGGCCACACGGGAACGUGACCACGGUCCAGACCCCUACGGGAGGAAGCAUUGGGGAAUUUUGGACAAUGGGCGCAAGCCUGUUGCAGCCAUGCCGCGUGUAUGAAGAAGGCCUUCGGGUUGUAAAGUACUUUCAGCGGGGAGGCGUUACCCGCAGAAGAAGCACCGGCUAACUCCGUGCCAGCCCCGCGGUAAUUC
rnacentral:rRNA from 1 species